CAGCAGCCGCGGGAAUACGUAGGUCCCGAGCGUUGUCCGGAUUUAUUGGGCGUAAAGCGAGCGCAGGCGGUUUGAUAAGUCUGAAGUUAAAGGCUGUGGCUCAACCAUAGUUCGCUUUGGAAACUGUCAAACUUGAGUGCAGAAGGGGAGAGUGGAAUUCCAUGUGUAGCGGUGAAAUGCGUAGAUAUAUGGAGGAACACCGGUGGCGAAAGCGGCUCUCUGGUCUGUAACUGACGCUGAGGCUCGAAAGCGUGGGGAGCGAACAGGAUUAGAUACCCGGGUAGUCCCUGUCUCUUUACAC
rnacentral:rRNA from 1 species